AAUUGGAGGGCAAGUCUGGUGCCAGCAGCCGCGGUAAUUCCAGCUCCAAUAGCGUAUAUUAAAGUUGUUGCAGUUAAAAAGCUCGUAGUUGAAUUUCGGGAUCAAUAUUUCGGUCAUGCCGUCGGUAUGCACUGUUAUCAUUGAUUUCUCACCUUCUAAAGAACCGUAAUGCCAUUAAUUUGGUGUUACGGGGAAUUAGGACUGUUACCUUGAAAAAAUUAGAGUGUUUAAAGCAGGCUCACGCUUGAAUACAUUAGCAUGGAAUAAUGAAAUAGGACAUCCGAUUCUAUUUUGUUGGUUUCUAGGAUCGAUGUAAUGAUUAAUAGGGAUAGUUGGGGGCAUUAGUAUUCAAUUGUCAGAGGUGAAAUUCUUGGAUUUAUUGAAGACUAACUACUGCGAAAGCAUUUGCCAAGGAUGUUUUCAUUAAUCAAGAACGAAAGUUAGGGGAUCGAAGACGAUCAGAUACCGUCGUAGUCUUAACCAUAAACUAUGCCGACUAGGGAUCGGAUGAUGUUAAUUUUUUAAUGACUCAUUCGGCGCCUUACGGGAAACCAAAGUGU
rnacentral:rRNA from 1 species